AAAGGAGAGGAUAUCUCUUCAUGGUACGAACUAUAUAUAAAGUUUCAUUUCCUAAGGCAACAAUGACGUACCUUUCCAAAAUAGAAAUUAUUCCUUUUCUUUAUAAGUAAAUUAUGUGUAAUUAAAGAAUUUUUCUUAAUUUAGAAUAAUUACAAUUUUCAAUAAUAAAAAUUUAAUUUAUUCUAUUGAUAUUUGUCCAAUUUAGAAUAAAUUAAAGUUUCUAGAUCAAAAUAAAAUAAUUUGUAGUCUUCUAAAAAAAUUGUAAUCUAAUGAAGAUUGAGUGUAUGACCAAGUAUGAACUAACCACAAAAUUUUAAUCACUAUUGCUGUGAUUCGACUAUUUGAGCUUUUUAUUAAUUAUAUAUAUCUCUGUUCUCAUCGACACCUAUAGGAGGUAGUCGUUUUGAUCUACAGUCUGUACU
rnacentral:misc_RNA from 1 species